CACGUAGGGCGCAAGCGUUGUCCGGAUUUAUUGGGCGUAAAGAGCUCGUAGGCGGUCUGUCGCGUCGGAUGUGAAAACCCAGGGCUCAACCCUGGGCCUGCAUUCGAUACGGGCAGACUAGAGUUCGGUAGGGGAGACUGGAAUUCCUGGUGUAGCGGUGAAAUGCGCAGAUAUCGAGAGGAACACCUGCGGCGAAGGCGGGUUGCUGGGCCGACACUGACGCUGAUGCGCGAAAGCCAGGGGAGCGAACGGG
rnacentral:rRNA from 1 species